GCUGAAGGGAGUUUCCCUCAAUCUCCACCUGCAUAUCAUGGGGCACUGCUCCAGCUUCUAGGGGGUCUUCAGCUGAAUGAGGCUGCAUUUGCUGAGCCAGUUCAUAUCUGGUUUGGCGGAGAUUAUGAUGAAAAAAAAGUUUGGAGAUGACUUGAAGGUCUUCUGGCAGUAGGGGCACAUGUAAGGUCGUAGGUCGCUAUGGGUCGUCAUGUGACGGCGUAGGCUACCACUGGUGGUGAACGUUGUAUCACACAUGACACACUUGUAUGCCUUCAGUCCUGAGUGGGUCCGUAUGUGCGCCUUGAGAACCCCUGAGGAGGCAAAACCCCGACCACACUGCACACACUUGUAUGGCCUUUCUCCUGUAUGAGAUCUUGGUUAAGCAAAUUGUAAAAAAAAACAAUGACACGGUUACUUUAAAUGAGCAAAGCAAUGACCAGUAUUAGAAGACUAGUCUCACCUAACAUGCUGUUUCAAAUGACUUGAUUUCUUAUAGGCCUUAUUGCAGAACUGGCACUUGUAUGGACGAUCGCUGCCCACCACCUCCAGGUACUGUUGGAAUGCCAGGCGAGGGUUCUGAGAUGGGAUGAGGCCUGUUGAGCAACCAACACAUGGUUUUCAAUGUGCGAUGAGAUACCAAUUCAUACAAGGACAUGCUACGCAAAUGAAUAAACAGGAUGAGCAAUGCAUUCUACUCAUGUAAAGAGUCUAUGUUCAAAAUUGUCGACACAUGCUCUUACCAAAGUCCGUAAUGAGAAUUGGCUCCUGCAGUGGGAUGUCAGGUAGUGGUAAAUUACUCUUAGAUGCUUUGGCUUUGUUUGUUUUUCGUGGAAACCUAUGCCUCUUCUGCUGUAAGCUUUUGAAGUGAGAGGCAAUGUGUGUUUUCCUGUGUCCUGAUGUACGAAAGAUCUUAUCGCAGUGAGGGCAGGAGAAAGGACGAACACCUAAAAAGAAAAAGUACAUUUUGAAACCAUUGACAAUUGAAAAUGGUGCUGACUGCGAAAUAUCUACUGUAUUUAAAAAGGAACUUAUGAAAAGUUUUCAGUGCUUGAAAGGGCUUUCAUGCGCACUUGCUCUCAUUGUCCUCUUGAAAUGCUCUCGACGCUUUAUCAUUUUGAACAAGUGUUAAAUAUAUUGUAGAAGUUAUCAUUUAUUUGCUUAGCUUGCAUUAGUAUUAUGGACCAUUUUGAGAAAGGAACAUGUCUCGCCUUCAAGAAGAUGACUCAGCAGGAAUCAUCAGAGAGAAGGACGUGGCCGGGACGUGGCAGGUGUUGGUCCCAUGUUUUCACCUUGAAACCCUACCCUUAGUGUGUUGUGUCUUGUAGCUUAGUACGUUAUGUCUUGUAAACUUAGAAACCUCCCUAUUUCAAAUAAAUACAGGAGCGACGGGAGAGAUUGUUUAGCGCGUAUUGAGAGGCUGUAAUCUGAACAAUCUCCCAUACGCCCUCCUCAUGAGAAAAAGAAACCAGCGUCUUCAUUCCUUUUGUGUCUAUUUUUUAUAAUGUUGGGUAAGAUAAAUCCAACAUUAAAUUGGUCCUUCGAGCCGGAUGUCAACACACCCGAGGAUUCCACUUGUGGAGCCGACUUCCAUUUAAGAGACCGUGGCCACGGCAAGUAAGACCCUUUACGGGACUGGUCUUCGUUCUCCUCAACUGGGAUCUGAAGGUUGACGACAAUCCACAGGAUUGAAGACGAUUUUGCAUGUCCUGUUAGGGAUCCCCACAGCGUGUCAUCCUAUCUCCUGCACAGCCACUUCUCCUAGAUGCUUCCAUUCCUCCACAGGUUCCACCACCAAGUCUCCUCCUCCAUUUUCCUACCAGAAGAUACACCAAGUACUCACCUGCCUGCCUCUCUGAUCACCUUGGCUGCAGUGCUCCAGUUGUCUGGUAGACCUCCUCUUGUCUACCGAGAGCCUGUCUCACCUCUUCCCAAAAAGCUGCUUAACACUCGUCUUGUCUCAGCUUCCACCACAUGGUUCUCUGCUCUGCCUCUGUCUUCUUAAUCUUCCUCCCCACCACCAGAGUCAUUUUACACACCACCAUCCUAUGCUGUCUAGCCACACUCUCCCCUACCACUACCGUACAGUCUGUAACCUCCUUCAGAUUACAUAAUCUGCACAAGAUGUAAUCCACCUGUGUGCUUCUAACUCCGUUCUUGCAGGUCACCCUAUGUUCCUGCCUCUUCUGGAAGAAAGUUUUCACUACAGCAAUUUACAUCGUUUUUGCAAAGUCUACCACCAUCUGUCCCUCGAGGUUCCUUACCUGGAUACCGGAUUUACCCAUCACUUCUUCAUCACCCCUGUUUCCUUCACCAACAUGUCCA